rnacentral:rRNA from 1 species
GACGAACGCUGGCGGCGUGCUUAACACAUGCAAGUCGAACGGAAAGGCCCUGCUUUUGUGGGGUGCUCGAGUGGCGAACGGGUGAGUAACACGUGAGUAACCUGCCCUUGACUUUGGGAUAACUUCAGGAAACUGGGGCUAAUACCGGAUAGGAGCUCCUGCUGCAUGGUGGGGGUUGGAAAGUUUCGGCGGUUGGGGAUGGACUCGCGGCUUAUCAGCUUGUUGGUGGGGUAGUGGCUUACCAAGGCUUUGACGGGUAGCCGGCCUGAGAGGGUGACCGGCCACAUUGGGACUGAGAUACGGCGCAGACUCCUACGGGAGGCAGCAGUGGGGAAUAUUGCACAAUGGGCGGAAGCCUGAUGCAGAAACGCCGCGUGCGGGAUGACGGCCUUCGGGUUGUAAACCGCUUUCGCCUGUGACGAAGCGUGAGUGACGGUAAUGGGUAAAGAAGCACCGGCUAACUACGUG